GAUGAACGCUGGCGGCGUGCCUAAUACAUGCAAGUCGAGCGAACAGAUGAGGAGCUUGCUCCUCUGACGUUAGCGGCGGACGGGUAAGUAACACGUGGAUAACCUACCUAUAAGACUGGGAUAACUUCGGGAAACCGGAGCUAAUACCGGAUAAUAUCUUGAACCGCAUGGUUCAAUAGUGAAAGACGGUUUUGCUGUCACUUAUAGAUGGAUCCGCGCCGCAUUAGCUAGUUGGUAAGGUAACGGCUUACCAAGGCAACGAUGCGUAGCCGACCUGAGAGGGUGAUCGGCAACACUGGAACUGAGACACGGUCCAGACUCCUACGGGAGGCAGCAGUAGGGAAUCUUCCGCAAUGGGCGAAAGCCUGACGGAGCAACGCCGCGUGAGUGAUGAAGGUCUUCGGAUCGUAAAACUCGGUUAUUAGGGAAGAACAAAUGUGUAAGUAACUAUGCACUUCUUGACGGUACCUAAUCAGAAAGCCACGGCUAACUACGUG
rnacentral:rRNA from 1 species